AGACAGAACAGCACAAAUCUGUCAGCCAGAGACACAAACAGAGUCAAACUUAACAUUGAAUUAUAACACAGUUUUUCAAUAGCAGAAUGAAUCAAAAAACACACUGGUUUUUAGUUCUGAAAGGUGUGUCUAACAACUGUUUUAGAAUUCCAAAAGUCAAACAGGCAACGUGUGGUUGAGCAUUCCUGGUCAAAUGAUGAGUUACAAGACUCAGUGGGAGGCCUCCUGAAAACCAAAGCCCACCUGAUGGAUAUGCAGCCAGGCUGCAUCUGUGCUGCUGGCCUUUGGUUCAACAUAUUGUUCUCAAGUGUUCAAUAAAAAAAAGAUCUAUGCUGUUAUUGGGAUAUAGAUGUGUAUUGGUCCAAGGUUCACAGCACAGUAUGGAUUUUCCUCUUGUAGGUUAGUCUCUUCUUAAUGAAUGUUUGCAUUGCCUACUUGUCGAUGACACAACGACCCCCUGCACUCAGCAUACAUUAAAAGCUACAGGCGUAAUUGGCUUGUGUACAGAAACACAAAUGAUCAGGGCUGAUUGUUAAAGGUGUAUAUUAGUGGCAUUAGAUCCUAAUAUCCACACACAACAUGCGGCACACAACUGAAAAUGGUCUCGUCUGUCAAACCAAUAAAGUGCAAAAAACACAAUGAACCAACAGCUGGCAACUAGUGAUUACUCUGCAGUUUUCAAGUGUUAACUUACACAUUUCUUGGUGACACGUGACAUUGUUUUGUUAGUAUGGCCCCGAUGAACAGCAACGGAUCUGCUUGGCUGUUAUUUUCCUGGAUGAUCAUUAGCUGGUUAAAAGCGAAC
ensembl:lncRNA